ensembl:lncRNA
CGUGGGCGUGGAGACUGGACAGCCGGCCAGGCCCCCCGCCCUCCCUCUGAGGACCUGUCCGUUCUGUGCCCUGAGUAGCCUCUGCUGUGCCGAUUGGUGGGGACACUUCCUGGCCCUUCAACGUGGGCUUGCCCGCUGGGAACCCUGGGUGUAAAACUCCCCGGAGCAGACAGGGCUGAAGCUGCAGCCUGAAGCAGAGCCCCUGCUGAACAGCAGACCCACAGCCGGACACAGGCUUACUCUUUUCACUGUGAAACUUGGAAGGUCAUUUGAGCAGCGUUAUGUCAGCAAAAGCCUGCCUGAGACACGGCGCUUUCAUAUUAUUUCAGAAAUCUUUGCAAGAGGUUGUCGAAACAUGGGGGUCCCUGAAGCAGUCUAUUCUCUGCACAAAAGCCGCCCUCGGGCAGUGACACACCUGAGCAGCCUCUGGACGGAAGACACAAGUGUGGAGGGGCCGGCGGAGUAAAAACUCCGGGCCUUUCCAUGUUCACAUUGCUCUGAGGCUGAGAUGCUCCGAGAUGAACCGCCGGACCACCACCUUCUCUCCCCGCGUCCCCAGACCUUGGUGCUGCGUUUGCUUCCCGCCUGUGGCCGAGGUCGAGUGCUCAGCUACUGACGGAGCGCGGGACUCAACCACAGGGUGACAGAAAUCACGUAUCUGGGCUCACCCUGAAACGGCACUGAGGGCCAGGCUCC